GUUUUUCUUCAUUUUUAAUUUUUACUAAUCAGUACAACAUCUAUAGUAACUUUUUCAUACAAUGACAAACUACUUAUAAAUGAUAUUAAUUUCCUGACAGGAAAAAUAUAAUCCUAUUGUACAUUUAUUAACAUUUUUGUAUUUGAUUUAUGGUAUCAUUGUCUUUUUUUACCUUAGUGUACAAAUAAGUGGGAAACAUAAAGAUACUAAAAAACAGCAAAGAUGUUGUGACUUGUACAACCAGAGAUAAAAAAAAUAUGUUGAUACAUGUAGUACAAGUAAUAUGCAUUUAUGUUUAAAUAUUGUUUGUUUUAUAUUUUUAUCAAAUUUUAAAAAUUGUCUGUUUUGAUAUUUUAAGAAAUGAAUCAUGUUGUUCAUUUAUUUCAUAGAUAAACAAGUAAGACUGUGAUAUUAAUAAUUCAUAUAUGCAUCAUUAUUAUAGUAGUACAGUCAUGUUAAGGUUGUUGUUUUAGUUUUUUUUAUAAUGGUUGUGUUUUAACACUGUAAAUACAUGUAUAUUUAUUAAAUGUCUAGUGAAAUAUUUAACCUAUUCAAACUAACAAAGAAAUCUUAGCAUUCAGUUAUUCACUUAUUCAGUCUGUUUGCAUGUCAUAUGAAUAUUUCACUCUUAUUGACUUUUGUUCUGAGUGAUAUUUGAGGUUUCCCCAUACCAAAACAUGGUCUUCUCCAUUUCUGUAAAUAUUAUUAGAAGGCAAGCAACACGCAUCUUCUUUGGGAGACUCUUAGAUUCUGAUAAAAAAAAUUGUAUGUGUGUUUAAGGUUUGACUACUUCUAAACAAGGGUAAAAUGCUUUUGUUUUAAAAAAAAAAGUGCCAUAACAUUACCGGUAAAAUUAUUUCUACUUUUAAUUAUUGGCAUUUAUAAGGCAAUAUUUUUUUAUGAUGGCAUUAAUUGUUUUUCUUUACCUCAUCUGGCCAAUUGUGCUAGGGUGACCUAUUGAAACCACUUGGCACACAUUUUUUGGUCUGUGCUAGUAUAUAUUUUAAUUUUCUCAGCAAGACUUUUAGGCAUUGACAUUAAUUGAAUGAUUCAGAAAAUAACUUAUUAGGCCUCAAUACAGAAAGAAGUCUUGUUAGCAAAACAGAGCCUCUUGCUAUAUAUUAUGUAUACAUCUGUGUUAAUUUUGAAUUAUAAUUGCAUUAUAUCUAAUAAAUACAAUAGUUUUUAAUGUUUUAAAAUGGCACUCAGGGCUUUUUAAUUUUGUCACAAGCAGGCAUUAACUCAUGUUAUUGUUACCUCAUGAUCCCCACUUCAGGUGUUGAUUCACCAUAUUUAAUUUCAAUUAAUGUAUUUGUUAGUAUUAACAAGUUAAUUUAUGUAUCUAUAGCAUGAUACCAUGAUAAAAUAAUAUAAUAUUAGAAAAUAUCUGGAAUGACAUACGUUGUUAUCACAUAACAAGCCAAAUUCUUAUAUAUAAUUGUACUGAAAUAUACUUAUUUUUUUUUUCUUCUAGAAAUGGAAAUCCAGUUUAAUAUGAAUUCAUGUUAUAAAUUUUAGUCUUUCAUCUAUUUUUUUGGGUGAUCACAUGAGCAACUAUCAUGGUAUAGAUAACUAAAUAACAUCCCGAAUAUUCGGGUUUUGAUUUUUUUGCUAGUUUAGUUAGGCUGUUUGUAAAUGUACUUAAGAGGCAUUAUCUGUUACCUGUUACUUGUUUGAUUUAUUCCUUUCUGUAAUAAUUUAUUGAAAAUAUAUUCUUUUUUUACUUAACUUUUAUCCAAAUUUAGUAUCAACAACAAAAAAACAUGUAUUCUAGUAGUCAGUGUCAUCUGACAGCAUUGUAAAGUAUAAAAAAUUUAUAUUCAGAUAUUAUUUGGUGAUGCAUUACCAUCAAAUAGUAGAAGUAGAUGAGGAAUACCAGUAAUAAGACAAAGUUUUGAUAUUUCUUGCUGAAAACCUGAAAAACUCCCAUUCAACACACUGUUAUCAUGUUAAAGACAAAAUGGUAUAAUCAAACUUGGCAGAUUUUAUUUUUUUAAUUUUAAGAGCUAAUUUUAAUCCUGAAGAUGGAUUUGUAAUGAAAAGAAUUGAUAUAAAAAAACUUUUUUUUUAGAGCAGGAUAAAAACCAAAAUGUACCUAGUCAGUUUAGCUGUUUAUUUCUCAAUUGCCCAAAACAAUCCAAAUCCAUGUGUCUAGUCUUGUAAGCCGGUUAAGUACGGUGACUAAUAGUUGUUAAUUUCUGUGUCAUUUGGUCUCUUGUGGAGAGUUGUCUUAUUGGCAAUCAUAUCAAAGGUAUAUAUCAGCAAUGUCACAGACAUGUUUUAAAAAAUCUGUGACAAUCAAAUAAUUUUAACACAACUUAUUUCCCUUGGAAAUACCAAUCCUUUUGGAAAUUGCAUUGUAACCUUUCAUGAAUACAUUUAUUGUCAUAUUUUUAUUGGUAGAGUUCAAAAGUCAGUGCUGAUAAACUAUUUUUACAUUUUUCCUCAUAUAUUAUUAAGCUAGAUAUCUGAUAGAUAUUGCUAAUUUCAAUAACCACAACUGACAACUGAUAAAACAAUUUUGCAUCCUAUAAAUAGAAAAACUCACCAUUCUUUCUUUCUUUAGUGGGUUAGUGUUUAUGUUUAUAUUUAAUUGUUUUUAUGUCAUGGUUGUUACAAUUUUUUACACAUUUACACUCCUAUUAAAACUGUUGAUUAUAGAAAGAAAAUAAAACAA
rnacentral:lncRNA from 1 species